AGCGAACGCUGGCGGCAGGCUUAACACAUGCAAGUCGAGCGGACCUUUCGGGGUCAGCGGCGGACGGGUGAGUAACGCGUGGGAACGUGCCUUCCGGUUCGGAAUAACCCUGGGAAACUAGGGCUAAUACCGGAUACGCCCUUAUGGGGAAAGGUUUACUGCCGGAAGAUCGGCCCGCGUCUGAUUAGCUAGUUGGUGGGGUAACGGCCUACCAAGGCGACGAUCAGUAGCUGGUCUGAGAGGAUGAUCAGCCACACUGGGACUGAGACACGGCCCAGACUCCUCCGGGAGGCAGCAGUGGGGAAUAUUGGACAAUGGGCGCAAGCCUGAUCCAGCCAUGCCGCGUGAGUGAUGAAGGCCUUAGGGUUGUAAAGCUCUUUUAUCCGGGACGAUAAUGACGGUACCGGAGGAAUAAGCCCCGGCUAACUUCGUG
rnacentral:rRNA from 1 species